CAGCUCUCCCUUUCCUCUCUCUCUCUCUCUCUCUCUCAUCUCUUUCUUUUUUGAGAAAAACUCAGUUCCCCUUUCAACAAUGGAACAUCCUUGCCACCCCACUUUCGUGCAAUCUUCCUCUCUCCUAUCUUCAACGCCCGGAUCAACACAAAUGGCCAAAAGUACUUUAUGAAUUCUCUGAAACAAAAUCGGCUUUAGAAAUUCGACUGUUGGAUUCAAACGGCUCUUUUUAGUUUUUGUUUGGAGCCAAAAAAUCGUGAAUUCAAACAAUCUCAAACCCUAGUCACUUCGCCUAUAAAUAUUGUCUAAGUCUUCAGCCGAAAAGGGGGGGAUACGCGAGUUUUUCUGUCAAAAGUAUUGAAUUCUUUUUUAAAAAAAUCCGGUUUUGAACUUUUUAAAUCAGAAAACAUUUUGUUGAAACAUGAGAUUGGUGUUGAAAAGUUAAGGCUUCACGAUUCGACUAACGUUUGUCGUUGUUCGGUAAAAGAACUUUAACUACGACAAAGGCAUUUUAAUUUUCGACUCGAGUUCGAAUCUGUCAAUAUGAGAGUAGAUUCGAGACCUCCGCAUCCCCGUUCACUGCACCACCAACAGCAAAAAUGGAGUUUUCGUAAAGACCCUCACUGCCCGAGAAGUCUCAUUUUGAGACUAUGCCGCCGUAAGCUUUGAGACUCGACGACACUGCCUACAGAGUCCACACAUGAUUCACGUUCUUACGUCUCCUAAGCGGCGUAUCGUAGAACGUGGUUACCCCUCUGUGAAAGUCAAAAUGAUUCUUACCAUUUCGUGCUACUGUUUUGUUAUAUGUCAGUGCAAUUAUGUUUCCUUGUGUGACUAACCCUUAUUCCAUAUUUGGUGUAAUUGAUUAUUAAGAACUAAGCUGCUAUAUAGUACAGUCAAGUUUCACCUAA